UACAGAGGUGGCAAGCGUUGCUCGGUAUCACUGGGAUUAAAGGGCGCGUAGGCGGUGCGGUACGGUUUCGGUGAAAUCCCUCGGCCCAACCGAGGAACAGCCGGAGCUACGGCCGGACUAGACGGCAUCAGGGGACAGUGGAACUCCCGGUGGAGCGGUGAAAUGCGUAGAUAUCGGGAGGAACACCAGUGGCGAAGGCGGUUGCCUGGGGCUUUGCUGACGCUGAUGCGCGAAAGCGUGGGGAGCGAUCCGG
rnacentral:rRNA from 1 species